rnacentral:rRNA from 1 species
AAAACAUGGUCUUUUGUUUAUAUAAAAGAUCUGGCCUGCCCAAUGAUAUUAAUUUAAUGGCUGCAGUAUUUUGACUGUACAAAGGUAGCAUAAUCAUUUGUCUUUUGAUUGGAGUCUGGAAUGAAUGGUUAGAUGAAAGAUUUACUUUCUUUAUUUUAAAAUUAAAAAUUAAUUUUUAAAUCAAAAAGUUUAACUGAUAAUAAAGGACGAGAAGACCCUAUAGAACUUUAUUUAUAUAUAAAUUAUUUAUUAAUUUGUUAAUUAUUAAUAUAUAUCUUUUUAUAAAUUGUGUUGGGGUGACAAAAAAAAUAUUUUAACUUUUUUUAAUUAAAACAUUUAUUUAUGUAUUUUGAUCCUUUAAUAUGGAAUAUAAGAUUAAGUUACCUUAGGGAUAACAGCGUUAUUAUUUUGGAGAGUUCUUAUCAAUAAAAUAGUUUGCGACCUCGAUGUUGGAUUAAAAUUAGCUCUAGGAGUAGAAGAUUAGUGGCUAAGUCUGUUCGACUUUUAAAUUUUUACAUGAUCU